rnacentral:rRNA from 1 species
UACGUAGGGCGCAAGCGUGUCCGGAAUUAUUGGGCGUAAAGAGCUCGUAGGCGGUCUGUCGCGUCGGAUGUGAAAGCCCGGGGCUUAACCCCGGGUCUGCAUUCGAUACGGGCAGACUAGAGUGUGGUAGGGGAGAUCGAAUUCCUGGUGUAGCGGUGAAAUGCGCAGAUAUCAGGAGGAACACCGGUGGCGAAGGCGGAUCUCUGGGCCAUUACUGACGCUGAGGUGCGAAAGCGUGGGGAGCAAACAGG